UACGGAGGGGGCUAGCGUUGUUCGGAAUUACUGGGCGUAAAGGGCGCGUAGGCGGCCUUCUAAGUCAGACGUGAAAUCCCCCGGCUUAACCUGGGAACUGCGUCUGAUACUGGGAGGCUUGAGUAUGGGAGAGGGAUGUAGAAUUCCAGGUGUAGCGGUGAAAUGCGCAGAUAUCAGGAGGAACACCGGUGGCGAAGGCGGUUCUCUGGGCAUGUCCUGACGCUGAGGAGCGAAAGUGUGGGGAGCGAACAGG
rnacentral:rRNA from 1 species